rnacentral:rRNA from 1 species
GAUGAACGCUGGCGGCGUGCCUAAUACAUGCAAGUCGAGCGAACGGACGCGGCUCUUGCUUCUCUCAUGUUAUCGGCGCACGGGAGUAAAACGUGUGUAACCCCCCCUUAACUUUGGGGUAACUUUUGGGAACUCGGGCUAAAACCCGGUAUAAGCUUUUGCACCGCGGGGUUGAAAGGAAAAAGUCGGCGUUUCGGUAUGUAAUCGCGGUGUAGCAGCUUGUUUGUAUGGUAGCGGAUUACCAAGGCUACGAUGGAAAGCCGACCUGAGAGGGGGAUCGGCCACACUGGAACUGAGACACGGUCCAGACUCCUACGGUAGGCAGCAGUAGGGAACCGUCCGCAAUGGGCGGAAGCCUGACGGAGCAACGCGGCGUGAGUGAUGAAGGUCUUCGGAGCGUAAAACUCUGUUAUGAGGGAAGAACAUAUGUGUAAGGAACUGUGCACAGCUUGACGGUACCUAAUCAGAAAGCCACGGCUAACUACGUG